rnacentral:rRNA from 1 species
GUGUCAGCCGCCGCGGUAAUACGUAGGGUGCGAGCGUUAAUCGGAAUUACUGGGCGUAAAGCGUGCGCAGGCGGUUUUGUAAGUCAGAUGUGAAAUCCCCGAGCUCAACUUGGGAACUGCGUUUGAAACUACAAGACUAGAAUAUGUCAGAGGGGGGUAGAAUUCCACGUGUAGCAGUGAAAUGCGUAGAGAUGUGGAGGAAUACCAAUGGCGAAGGCAGCCCCCUGGGAUAAUAUUGACGCUCAUGCACGAAAGCGUGGGGAGCAAACAGGAUUAGAAACCCCCGUAGUCC